AGAGUUUGAUCCUGGCUCAGGACGAACGCUGGCGGCGUGCUUAACACAUGCAAGUCGAGCGGGGAUCCGGGACUUCGGUUCUGGAUUCUAGCGGCGGACGGGUGAGUAACGCGUGAGCAAUCUGUCCCAGACAGGGGGAUAACAGAUGGAAACAUCUGCUAAUACCGCAUAAGACCACGAGAGGACAUCCUCUCGGGGUAAAAGAUUUAUCGGUUUGGGGUGAGCUCGCGUCCGAUUAGCUAGUUGGUGAGGUAACGGCCCACCAAGGCGACGAUCGGUAGCCGACCUGAGAGGGUGAUCGGCCACAUUGGAACUGAGACACGGUCCAAACUCCUACGGGAGGCAGCAGUGGGGAAUAUUGGGCAAUGGGCGCAAGCCUGACCCAGCAACGCCGCGUGAGGGAAGAAGGUUUUCGGAUUGUAAACCUCUGUCCUCAAGGACGAAGGAAGUGACGGUACUUGAGGAGGAAGCCCCGGCUAACUACGUGCCAGCAGCCGCGGUAAUACGUAGGGGGCGAGCGUUGUCCGGAAUGACUGGGCGUAAAGGGCGUGUAGGCGGCCGAUUAAGUCUGGAGUGAAAGUCCUGCUUUCAAGGUGGGAAUUGCUUUGGAGACUGGUUGGCUUGAGUGCGGAAGAGGUAAGUGGAAUUCCCAGUGUAGCGGUGAAAUGCGUAGAGAUUGGGAGGAACACAGUGGCGAAGGCGACUUACUGGGCCCGUACUGACGCUGAGGCGCGAAAGCGUGGGGAGCGAACAGGAUAUGAUACAUGGUAGUCCACGAGGUAAACGAUGAAUGCUAGCUGUUGCGGGUAUAGACUCAUGCAGUGCCGGAGUGNACGCAAUAAGCAUUCCGACUGGGGAGUACGGCGGCAAGGUUGAGACUCAAAGGUAUUGACGGGGGCCCGCACAAGCAGCGGAGCAUGUUGUUUAAUUCGAAGCAACUGAGAGGAACCUUACCAUGUGUUGACAUUGAGCUAUAGCCAUAGAGAUAGGGUUUGGCUUCGGCCGAUGGAAGACAGGUGGUGCAUGGUUGUCGUCAGCUCGUGUCGUGAGAUGUUGGGGUAAGUGCCGCAACGAGCGCAACCCAUAUGGUCAGUUACUAUCGGGUAAGGCCGAGGAAUCUUACAAGAGUGGGCGGGGACAACUCAGGAGGAAGGUGGGGAGGACGUCAGAUCAUCAUGCCCCUUAUGAUCAUGGGCUACAGAGGUGAUAUCAUUUGUGGUUACUAAGAGGAGCGAGCUGAUGAGGGUAUGCGGAUUUCACAUAUGCCAUAUCGGUUGGGAUUGUGGGAUUGCAACCCGCCCACGAUGAAAUUGGAGUUGCUAGUUAUCGGAGUAUCAGAAUGACGCGGAGAAUACGUUC
rnacentral:rRNA from 1 species